rnacentral:rRNA from 1 species
GACCAAGGAGUCUAGCAUGUGCGCGAGUCAUUGGGACCGCACUAAUCCUAAAGGCGUAAUGAAAGUGAAGGUCCGCCUAGCGCGGACCGAGGGAGGAUGGGUAGACGUAAGGGCUGCCCCGCACUCCCGGGGCGUCUCGUUCUCAACGCGAGAAGAGGCGCACCCAGAGCGUACACGCUGGGACCCGAAAGAUGGUGAACUAUGCCUGGUCAGGACGAAGUCAGGGGAAACCCUGAUGGAGGUCCGUAGCGAUUCUGACGUGCAAAUCGAUCGUCGGAACUGGGUAUAGGGGCGAAAGACUAAUCGAACCAUCUAGUACGUGGUUCCUUCCGAA